CAGCCGCCGCGGUAAUACGAAGGGUGCAAGCGUUAAUCGGAAUUACUAGGCGUAAAGCGUGCGUAGGCGGUUUGUUAAGUCUGUUGUGAAAUCCCCGGGCUCAACCUGGGAAUGGCAAUGGAUACUGGCAAGCUAGAGUGUGUCAGAGGAUGGUGGAAUUCCCGGUGUAGCGGUGAAAUGCGUAGAGAUCGGGAGGAACAUCAGUGGCGAAGGCGGCCAUCUGGGACAACACUGACGCUGAGGCACGAAAGCGUGGGGAGCAAACAGGAUUAGAUACCCAGUAGUCCCUGUCUCUUAUACA
rnacentral:rRNA from 1 species